rnacentral:lncRNA from 1 species
GGGAAACGGCCGGAGCAGGAGGUGUUUAUGGUCCUUCCUCUCCUGGGGGCAGCAGAGCCAGCCAAGUUUACAGAUGCCCAGGACUCUAUAAACACACUCUGCGAGUAUGUGCGUAUGUGAGUGCGUGUGUGGGUGAGCGUCCCCUGUCCAAGCUUCACUUCCCAGGAUGGGCUGGCCUGACCUCCCUCACCUGGUGUGACAGAAGAGGGUGGGCUGAGUGGCUGCUGGCUGUCUUGGGCUGGUGACUCUCAUGGAGGGGGUUGGAAAACAUGGACAACAGGAGAUCCUGGGAGCCCUGCAGACUUCCUGGGGAGGGAGGCCUGGGGAUCCCGGAGAAAGUGUGUGGAAGGGAGGAAGGGCAUUCCAGGCCGGGGGAACAGCAGGAGCAAGGAGGAGCGUGCAUGCCUGUGUGCGUGCGUGCGUGCGACAGGACAGCAGGAAAGGGUGAGCCUAGGGUACAAGAAGAUGAGGAACGAGGUGGCUAGGGGUCCUCCAGCUAGAGGAAGCCUUGAGACUUGAGAGUUAACAGAGAAGUACUGGAAAUCCUUUCACAAAAUCAUGAAUACAAAGCCAUCAAAUUCCCCACCAGCACACAGGUCCACCAUGGUGACUUUAUUAGUAGUGGUAAUUAUCAGAAGAUGUACAGUUAUUGACGUGGUGUGAUUCAGGUGUCCAGCCUCCACGUUCUGUUCGACACUGAACUUGAGUGGGAUAGUAGCUGACAUUAGGAACAGUCUGUGCUCUCAAUUAGGGGUCAUCAGUGACCAGGGCAGAGUGAUCUGGUGGUGAAGAUAGAGGGUCAGUUGUGGUGACUGGCUCUGGUCAGUGGGUGUGCCAGGGGUCAGGAGCUGACCAGGAACUGUUUUCUGGGUGUGAAACUAUCGGCCCUGGAAGAAGCUGACCGUGUGGCAGAGACCUCAUGGUGAAGAGGCAGGAGCAUCUGUCUGACAUCUCAAAAGAUGUGGGAGUUAGUCCAGGAUCUGCCAUCUCACGGGCUGGGCUGCUCUGGGCAGCUUCUCCCACGUUAGCUUCUCUGAAUGCGAGUCCUCCCCCCGUGGGAAAGUAGUGACGCCAGUUCUUCUGUCUUGUAGCGUGUGAGGUAUCUGUGAUUGGGUAUCCCAGUCUGAAAUAUGAACCAAAUAAUCAUUAGGAGCACCCAGCUUGUUCUCUCUAGGUCAGGUAGUUAUGGGGGUGGCAAGGGAGUGGCUAAAGAGUGCUCCCCACAAUUGUCUACUCAUUGGAAUCACCUGGGCAUCUUUAAAAACACACCGAUGUCCACUCUCACUCCAGUCUCCCACAUUCUGAACUAACUGCUCUGGGUGAGUGGACAUUGGGAUUUUUAAAAACUCCUCUGGUGAUUCUAACCCACAACCAGAUUUGGAAACCAGUGGGUAAAGGCUUGUAUGAAGGAGCUGAAGAAAUGGGUCCUGAGCAGCCCCCUGACCUGUAAAUCAACUAAGCUGGCUGACCCCAGGCUCCAUUUCAAAGAGCGUCCUGCCUGUGGAAGACAAGAGGGCAGCAGCAGAGACUGAAGGAAGAACUUUCUCUACACCUUACAGAGAUUGCUGGGGGACUCAAGUAGAAUAAACACAACGUGUCAUAAAUUGUAAUAAUGAGCACCCGGCAGCCAGGAGAUGUUGAUGGAGCAUCCAGGAUGCGGUUGGAGAAAAGCAGAGCCCCUGGACCUUCUUGGUGAAGGUCUAAAUCCAGGGGGAUGGACGGCAAGGCUCCUGGUGAACCAGAAGGAGUUCCUGGCCCGGAG